rnacentral:SRP_RNA from 1 species
AGCCAGGCCCCAUGCAACGGGUGGCCGACGAAUCCCGCCAGGUCCGGAAGGAAGCAACGGCAGUCAGCUCAUCCGUGUGCCGUGGCAAGCCUGGCCCCU